UGGGGAAUAUUGCACAAUGGGCGCAAGCCUGAUGCAGCCAUGCCGCGUGUAUGAAGAAGGCCUUCGGGUUGUAAAGUACUUUCAGUCGGGAGGAAGGUGGUAAGGUUAAUAACCUUAUCAAUUGACGUUACCGACAGAAGAAGCACCGGCUAACUCCGUGCCAGCAGCCGCGGUAAUCCGGAGGGUGCAAGCGUUAAUCGGAAUUACUGGGCGUAAAGCGCACGCAGGCGGUUGAUUGAGUCAGAUGUGAAAUCCCCGGGCUUAACCCGGGAAUUGCAUCUGAUACUGGUCAGCUAGAGUCUUGUAGAGGGGGGUAGAAUUCCAUGUGUAGCGGUGAAAUGCGUAGAGAUGUGGAGGAAUACCGGUGGCGAAGGCGGCCCCCUGGACAAAGACUGCCGCUCAGGUGCGAAAGCGUGGGGAGCAAACAGG
rnacentral:rRNA from 1 species